GAGGGUAUAGCUUAGUGGUAGAGCACAAACUUAGCAUGCAUGAGGUCCUGGGUUCAAUUGCCAGUGCCUCCA
rfam:Camelus ferus unplaced genomic scaffold scaffold978, whole genome shotgun sequence.